AGUCUGCCCUUGAAGAAUUCUCAUUAAAUAUAAACUGUGUCCCACCAAGGGCUAUUAUUACAUUGUCAAUAAGACACUCACCUGGGACUAAUAUCGUAUUUUAGUCCUAAAAGACCAUCUAGGCAGUUCAUUACCCUUUAAUUAUUUCACUCGGACAAGUCUAGAUUUUUAUAGUGAUUAUGCAGCGCAGCUCAAACUUCUCUUCCAUUGUAUUUAAAGUCUCUUUUGCAGAGUGUCAUAAGAUUCUGACGCCCAGCAUAUUCUAUGAGAGUUGCAUCGCUGAUUCAUGCCACAUUACCAAUGAAUCUAUACCAUGCUUCAGCUUGGAAACAUAUGCCUCCCUCUGCUCUGCUAAAGGUGUCUGUGCCAACUGGAGAAGCAAGACCCAAGGACAAUGCCGUAAGGAGCAUUAAGAGAUACUUUGCCUUGGAUCUAUGGCGUGCUUAUUACAAACUUAUUCUGGAAAUGUAAACUUCUUCCAUUAUUUUGGGAGGGAGGAAUAGAUACGUAUCUAAACUUUACUUUAAUUUAAUUCCUGUGGAGAUGGGUGAACUAGUUCCGAUAAAAUAUAAACAACCCUGAACCUUUGCUGUUCUCUCAAAUUCAACCAAAGCCACAUCUUUUGUGAGGUUCAAAAUCAUUCAGUAGCUGUUACAAAAUAUUUCUGCUUUUCUAUUUCCUGAUCCAAAGGGUUGAUGAAGUGAGACCACCAGUGGUUGUUACCCCUCCACCUACAUAAAAUUAAAAGCAAUUGGAAAGCAUCAUCUCUGCUUCUUUACCUUCAUACAAUGUUUCAUUUUCAUAUUGAUUUUAUUUUUGCUCCCACACAGCAUACAACUGUCCUAACGGCAAGGUGUAUGAUGCAUGUGGCCCUCUUAAUCCUGUCGCCUGUCAUUCCGGAACUGUUAACCAUACAAGUGAACAUGUUGCUGAAGGAUGCUUCUGCCCCAAGGAUAAGAUUCUCUUCAAUUCAUACACUGACAUCUGUGUGUCAGAAUGCGGUAAGUUUGUGGGGGACAGGAAGGAGGGAAGGAGAAAGGGUUGGAGGAGGAUGUAAAUAAUGUGAAUAUUAGUGUUGAUGAAAAAAAGAGAUGGACAGGACAACCUAGUUCUAGGUAUAGCGUGAAAAAAUGCUAUGGAAGCUUCUAUCACACAGCUCUGCUCAUGGACCUUAAUCUCACUCAGCUUUAGCCAUUCUUGAAUAUCCAAAUUCUGCUAGCUGAACCAGUCUGACAGGUAGUUUUGUAAUUAUGACAAAUUCACACUAGGGACUAAAACUACUGACCGUGUUUCACUUAUAAUAUAUCACAUUUAAAGCCU
rnacentral:lncRNA from 1 species